rnacentral:tRNA from 1 species
GAGGGUAUGGCUCAGCGGUAGAGCGCCUGCCUAGCGUGCAGGAGGUUCGGGUUCAAUCCCCAGUACCUCCA